UAGUCUGCCAUACGCAGGAAGACCCGCUGAACUGAAGCAUCUCAUUAAGCGGAGGAAAAGAAACUAACUAGGAUUCCCUUAGUAAAGGCGAUCGAAAAGGGAACAGCCCAACGUCUUAAUCCCGCAAGGGAAAUGUAGUCGGUUCACCUAUUGCACUGGUCUAAGUCAGAUGGAAUGCUGCGCGAUUCAGAGUAAAAGCCUCGUAUGACCAACCGCAAGCUUACGAUGGACCGGGGAGAGUCGGAUACUUUGAGAGUAGUGUCUUAAGGGGGUGGUAUGUCCCAUCCAAGGCUAAAUAACGUGAGGAGACCGAUAGAUUACAAGUAGUGUGAACGAAAGAUGAAAAGAACUCUAAAACAGAGGGUGAAAAGUUCCUGAACUUGCUUAGGGUUAAGGCUAUUUAUAGUACCCGUCUUGAAACACGGAUUAGGGAGUUUAUCUGUAGUGCGAGUCUUUGCACGUUAACUGUAAAGGCGUAGAGAAAGCAACUGGCGUUUGCAUGGCUACUGAGCAUUACUGAUAGGACCCGAAAGGUGGUGAACUUUGCCUGCACAGGUUGAAGUCAGGGGAAACUCUGAUGGAGGACCGUACGGGUUAUUGAUGUGCAAAUCAUUUUUCUGAUGUAGGUAAAGGUGCGAAAG
rnacentral:ncRNA from 1 species